rnacentral:rRNA from 1 species
GAUGAACGCUGGCGGCGUGCCUAACACAUGCAAGUCGAACGGUAACAGGAAGCAGCUUGCUGCUUCGCUGACGAGUGGCGGACGGGUGAGUAAUGUCUGGGAAACUGCCUGAUGGAGGGGGAUAACUACUGGAAACGGUAGCUAAUACCGCAUAACGUCGCAAGACCAAAGAGGGGGACCUUCGGGCCUCUUGCCAUCAGAUGUGCCCAGAUGGGAUUAGCUAGUAGGUGGGGUAACGGCUCACCUAGGCGACGAUCCCUAGCUGGUCUGAGAGGAUGACCAGCCAAACUGGAACUGAGACACGGUCCAGACUCCUACGGGAGGCAGCAGUGGGGAAUAUUGCACAAUGGGCGCAAGCCUGAUGCAGCCAUGCCGCGUGUAUGAAGAAGGCCUUCGGGUUGUAAAGUACUUUCAGCGGGGAGGAAGGCGAUGUGGUUAAUAACCGCGUCGAUUGACGUUACCCGCAGAAGAAGCACCGGCUAACUCCGUGCCAGCAGCCGCCGUAA